AGGCCCAAGUGCAGCUAUCAGACAAAAAGYGAAACACAGGAGCACUCCACUCAGAUCUGCUCCUCACCCUGUGUCCUCUCAUCCUCGCCGUGAGAGACUCUGCUAUGGCAAAACGUCUUCUUCCAGGAGAGGGCAGUGGUGCCCACAUGCACACUCCUCCAGUCUCUGCUGUCCUGCUGACUUAGUGGAAAGAUAAUUUUCCUCAUGUCUUGCAUGAGCAAAGAAAAGGUGGAAGGAAGGAAAGCGCCCCGUCCCCACACAGUGUGCACACUACAAGCAGGGAGAGUUGUUCU
rnacentral:lncRNA from 1 species